GCCGGGGUCCCAUAACCAGGUAGUGGGGCGGCCUCGAGAGCCGCUGCCCCGCAAGGGGCGUGUGGGUUCAAAUCCCACCCCCGGCG
rnacentral:tRNA from 1 species